rnacentral:rRNA from 1 species
UACGGAGGAUCCAAGCGUUAUCCGGAAUCAUUGGGUUUAAAGGGUCCGUAGGCGGUUUAGUAAGUCAGUGGUGAAAGCCCAUCGCUCAACGGUGGAACGGCCAUUGAUACUGCUAGACUUGAAUUAUUAGGAAGUAACUAGAAUAUGUAGUGUAGCGGUGAAAUGCUUAGAGAUUACAUGGAAUACCAAUUGCGAAGGCAGGUUACUACCAAUGGAUUGACGCUGAUGGACGAAAGCGUGGGUAGCGAACAGG